CCCUUAGAUGUUCUGGGCCGCACGCGCGCUACACUGAUGCAUUCAACGAGUCUAAAACCUGCUCUGAUAGGGGUGGGUAAUCUUUUGAAUGUGCAUCGUGAUUAGGAUAGAUGAUUGCAAUUUUUCAUCUUCAACGAGGAAUGCCUAGUAAACGCAAGUCAUCAGCUUGCAUUGAUUACGUCCCUGCCCUUUGUACACACCGCCCGUCGCUCCUACCGAUUGAAUGAUCCGAUGAAUAUCAUGGAUUGAGGAUGCAAGCAGGUUCGCCUGUCUUCAACUUCGAGAAGUGAAGUAAAUCUUAUCAUUUAGAGGAAGGAGAAGUCGUAACA
rnacentral:rRNA from 1 species